rnacentral:rRNA from 1 species
AGUGAAGCGAGACUGUGAAGUGGAGCAAAAUCACAAAAAGACCGUCUCAGUUCGGAUCGCAGGCUGCAACCCGCCUGCGUGAAGUUGGAAUUGCUAGUAAUCGCGGAUCAGCAAGCCGCGGUGAAUACGUUCCCGGGCCUUGUACACACCGCCCGUCACACCAUGGGAGCCGGUAAUACCCGAAGUCAGUAGCCUAACCGCAAGGGGGGCGCUGCCGAAGGUAGGAUUGGCGACUGGGGUGAAGUCGUAACAAGGUAAC